AGAGUUUGAUCCUGGCUCAGGACGAACGCUGGCGGUGUGCUUCACACAUGCAAGUCGAACGGAGUAGCAAUACUCAGUGGCGGACGGGUGAGUAACACGUGGGAAUCUACCAUUAGGUGGGGAAUAACAGGCCGAAAGGACUGCUAAUGCCGCAUAUGUAGGCAUCUCGACAGAGAUGUUUAUGAAAGGAGUAAUCCGCCUUUUGAUGAGCCCGCGUCCGAUUAGCUAGUUGGUAGGGUAAAAGCCUACCAAGGCGACGAUCGGUAGGUGGUCUGAGAGGAUGAUCACCCACAAUGGGACUGAGACACGGCCCAUACUCCUACGGGAGGCAGCAGUGGGGAAUUUUACGCAAUGGGGGAAACCCUGACGUAGCGACACCGCGUGAGCGAAGAAGCCCUUUGGGGUGGAAAGCUCUGUCAACAGGAACGAAACAAAUGACGGUACCUGUGGAGGAAGCAUCGGCUAACUACGUGCCAGCAGCCGCGGUAAGACGUAGGAUGCAAGCGUUGUCCGGAUUUAUUGGGCGUAAAGAGUUCGUAGGCGGUUUGUUAAGUCUGAUGUUAAAGACCGGGGCUCAACCUCGGAAAUGCAUUGGAUACUGGCAGACUGGAGUGCAGUAGAGGCUAGUGGAAUUCCCAGUGUAGCGGUGAAAUGCGUAGA
rnacentral:rRNA from 1 species